GGUCGCAACACGUCAAAACACCGGUUCUCGUACGAUCACAGAAGUAAAGCAAUAUUGAACCGAGAAAGUACUUAGAUGAGUGACCAUUUCGGAAUACCAGGUGCUGUAA